GCUGGCGGUGCGCCUUAUGCAUGCAAGUCGAGCGAAGCUUUUCAGUAGUUUACUACAGAAAAUGACUGAGCGGCGAACGGGUGAGUAACGCGUGAGCAAUCUACCUUAGUUACAGGGAUAGCCCGAGGAAACUCGGAUUAAUACCUGAUAUUCUUUACAUUUCACAUGAAAUCAAAAGGAAAGGUCAGCCGAACUAAGAUGAGCUCGCGUUCUAUCAGCUAGUUGGUGAGGUAAUAGCUCACCAAGGCAACGACGGAUAGCUGGUCUGAGAGGACGAUCAGCCACACUGGGACUGAGACACGGCCCAGACUCCUACGGGAGGCUGCAGCAGGGAAUAUUGCGCAAUGAGCGAAAGCUUGACGCAGCGACACCGCGUGUGGGAUGACGGAUCUAGGUUUGUAAACCACUUUCAGGAGGGAAGAAAAUGACGGUACCUCCACAAGAAGCCCCGGCCAACUACGUGCCAGCAGCCGCGGUAAUACGUAGGGGGCGAGCGUUGUCCGGAUUUAUUGGGCGUAAAGAGCUCGUAGGCGGUUCAACAAGUCGGUCGUAAAAGUUCAGGGCUCAACCCUGAAAUGUCGAUCGAUACUGUUGUGACUAGGAUACGGUAGAGGUGAGUGGAAU
rnacentral:rRNA from 1 species